rnacentral:rRNA from 1 species
UACGGAGGGUGCGAGCGUUAUCCGGAAUUACUGGGUUUAAAGGGUGCGUAGGCGGCUAUGUAAGUCAGGAGUGAAAGUUUGCGGCUCAACCGUAAAAUUGCUUUUGGUACUGCAUGGCUGGAAUUAGGAUGAGGUCAGCGGAAUGUGGCAUGUAGCGGUGAAAUGCAUAGAUAUGACAUAGAACACCAAUUGCGAAGGCAGCUCACUACGGGAUUAUUGACACUGAGGCACGAAAGCGUGGGGAUCAAACAGG